AUUGAACGCUGGCGGAAUGCUUUACACAUGCAAGUCGAGCGGCAGCGCGGCCUUCGGGCUGGCGGCGAGCGGCGAACGGGUGAGUAAUGCAUCGGAACAUGCCCAGUCGUGGGGGAUAACACUUCGAAAGAGGUGCUAAUACCGCAUACGUCCUGAGGGGGAAAGCGGGGGAUCGCAAGACCUCGCGCGAUUGGAGUGGCCGAUGUCAGAUUAGCUAGUUGGUGGGGUAAAGGCCUACCAAGGCGACGAUCUGUAGCUGGUCUGAGAGGAUGAUCAGCCACACUGGGACUGAGACACGGCCCAGACUCCUACGGGAGGCAGCAGUGGGGAAUUUUGGACAAUGGGGGCAACCCUGAUCCAGCCAUGCCGCGUGAGUGAAGAAGGCCUUCGGGUUGUAAAGCUCUUUCGGCAGGAACGAAACGGUGGGCUCUAACAUAGUCCGCUAAUGACGGUACCUGAAGAAGAAGCACCGGCUAACUACGUG
rnacentral:rRNA from 1 species